CCUACGGGUGGCAGCAGUGAGGAAUAUUGGUCAAUGGACGAGAGUCUGAACCAGCCAAGUAGCGUGAAGGAUGACUGCCCUAUGGGUUGUAAACUUCUUUUAUAUGGGAAUAAAAUGUUCCACGUGUGGGAUUUUGUAUGUACCAUAUGAAUACGGAUCGGCUAACUCCGUGCCAGCAGCCGCGGUAAUACGGAGGAUCCGAGCGUUAUCCGGAUUUAUUGGGUUUAAAGGGAGCGUAGGUGGAUUGUUAAGUCAGUUGUGAAAGUUUGCGGCUCAACCGUAAAAUUGCAGUUGAAACUGGCAGUCUUGAGUACAGUAGAGGUGGGCGGAAUUCGUGGUGUAGCGGUGAAAUGCUUAGAUAUCACGAAGAACUCCGAUUGCGAAGGCAGUUCACUGGACUGCAACUGACACUGAGGCUCGAAAGUGUGGGUAUCAAACAGGAUUAGAUACCCUAGUAGUC
rnacentral:rRNA from 1 species